rnacentral:rRNA from 1 species
AGAUUAAGUUAUUAAGGGCGCACGGUGGAUGCCUUGGCACUAGAAGCCGAUGAAGGACGUUACUAACGACGAUAUGCUUUGGGGAGCUGUAAGUAAGCUUUGAUCCAGAGAUUUCCGAAUGGGGAAACCCAGCAUGAGUUAUGUCAUGUUAUCGAUAUGUGAAUACAUAGCAUAUCAGAAGGCACACCCGGAGAACUGAAACAUCUUAGUACCCGGAGGAAGAGAAAGAAAAUUCGAUUCCCUUAGUAGCGGCGAGCGAAACGGGAAGAGCCCAAACCAACAAGCUUGCUUGUUGGGGUUGUAGGACACUCUAUACGGAGUUACAAAGGACGACAUUAGACGAAUCAUCUGGAAAGAUGAAUCAAAGAAGGUAAUAAUCCUGUAGUCGAAAAUGUUGUCUCUCUUGAGUGGAUCCUGAGUACGACGGAGCACGUGAAAUUCCGUCGGAAUCUGGGAGGACCAUCUCCUAAGGCUAAAUACUCUCUAGUGACCGAUAGUGAACCAGUACCGUGAGGGAAAGGUGAAAAGCACCCCGGAAGGGGAGUGAAAUAGAACCUGAAACCGUGUGCUUACAAGUAGUCAGAGCCCGUUAAUGGGUGAUGGCGUGCCUUUUGUAGAAUGAACCGGCGAGUUACGAUUUGAUGCAAGGUUAAGCAGUAAAUGUGGAGCCGUAGCGAAAGCGAGUCUGAAUAGGGCGUUUAGUAUUUGGUCGUAGACCCGAAACCAGGUGAUCUACCCUUGGUCAGGUUGAAGUUCAGGUAACACUGAAUGGAGGACCGAACCGACUUACGUUGAAAAGUGAGCGGAUGAACUGAGGGUAGCGGAGAAAUUCCAAUCGAACCUGGAGAUAGCUGGUUCUCUCCGAAAUAGCUUUAGGGCUAGCCUCAAGUGAUGAUUAUUGGAGGUAGAGCACUGUUUGGACGAGGGGCCCCUCUCGGGUUACCGAAUUCAGACAAACUCCGAAUGCCAAUUAAUUUAACUUGGGAGUCAGAACAUGGGUGAUAAGGUCCGUGUUCGAAAGGGAAACAGCCCAGACCACCAGCUAAGGUCCCAAAAUAUAUGUUAAGUGGAAAAGGAUGUGGCGUUGCCCAGACAACUAGGAUGUUGGCUUAGAAGCAGCCAUCAUUUAAAGAGUGCGUAAUAGCUCACUAGUCGAGUGACACUGCGCCGAAAAUGUACCGGGGCUAAACAUAUUACCGAAGCUGUGGAUUGUCCUUUGGACAAUGGUAGGAGAGCGUUCUAAGGGCGUUGAAGCAUGAUCGUAAGGACAUGUGGAGCGCUUAGAAGUGAGAAUGCCGGUGUGAGUAGCGAAAGACGGGUGAGAAUCCCGUCCACCGAUUGACUAAGGUUUCCAGAGGAAGGCUCGUCCGCUCUGGGUUAGUCGGGUCCUAAGCUGAGGCCGACAGGCGUAGGCGAUGGAUAACAGGUUGAUAUUCCUGUACCACCUAUAAUCGUUUUAAUCGAUGGGGGGACGCAGUAGGAUAGGCGAAGCGUGCGAUUGGAUUGCACGUCUAAGCAGUAAGGCUGAGUAUUAGGCAAAUCCGGUACUCGUUAAGGCUGAGCUGUGAUGGGGAGAAGACAUUGUGUCUUCGAGUCGUUGAUUUCACACUGCCGAGAAAAGCCUCUAGAUAGAAAAUAGGUGCCCGUACCGCAAACCGACACAGGUAGUCAAGAUGAGAAUUCUAAGGUGAGCGAGCGAACUCUCGUUAAGGAACUCGGCAAAAUGACCCCGUAACUUCGGGAGAAGGGGUGCUCUUUAGGGUUAACGCCCAGAAGAGCCGCAGUGAAUAGGCCCAAGCGACUGUUUAUCAAAAACACAGGUCUCUGCUAAACCGUAAGGUGAUGUAUAGGGGCUGACGCCUGCCCGGUGCUGGAAGGUUAAGAGGAGUGGUUAGCUUCUGCGAAGCUACGAAUCGAAGCCCCAGUAAACGGCGGCCGUAACUAUAACGGUCCUAAGGUAGCGAAAUUCCUUGUCGGGUAAGUUCCGACCCGCACGAAAGGCGUAACGAUUUGGGCACUGUCUCAACGAGAGACUCGGUGAAAUCAUAGUACCUGUGAAGAUGCAGGUUACCCGCGACAGGACGGAAAGACCCCGUGGAGCUUUACUGUAGCCUGAUAUUGAAAUUCGGCACAGCUUGUACAGGAUAGGUAGGAGCCUUUGAAACGUGAGCGCUAGCUUACGUGGAGGCGCUGGUGGGAUACUACCCUAGCUGUGUUGGCUUUCUAACCCGCACCACUUAUCGUGGUGGGAGACAGUGUCAGGCGGGCAGUUUGACUGGGGCGGUCGCCUCCUAAAAGGUAACGGAGGCGCUCAAAGGUUCCCUCAGAAUGGUUGGAAAUCAUUCAUAGAGUGUAAAGGCAUAAGGGAGCUUGACUGCGAGACCUACAAGUCGAGCAGGGUCGAAAGACGGACUUAGUGAUCCGGUGGUUCCGCAUGGAAGGGCCAUCGCUCAACGGAUAAAAGCUACCCCGGGGAUAACAGGCUUAUCUCCCCCAAGAGUUCACAUCGACGGGGAGGUUUGGCACCUCGAUGUCGGCUCAUCGCAUCCUGGGGCUGUAGUCGGUCCCAAGGGUUGGGCUGUUCGCCCAUUAAAGCGGUACGCGAGCUGGGUUCAGAACGUCGUGAGACAGUUCGGUCCCUAUCCGUCGUGGGCGUAGGAAAUUUGAGAGGAGCUGUCCUUAGUACGAGAGGACCGGGAUGGACAUACCUCUGGUGUACCAGUUGUCGUGCCAACGGCAUAGCUGGGUAGCUAUGUGUGGACGGGAUAAGUGCUGAAAGCAUCUAAGCAUGAAGCCCCCCUCAAGAUGAGAUUUCCCAACUUCGGUUAUAAGAUCCCUCAAAGAUGAUGAGGUUAAUAGGUUCGAGGUGGAAGCAUGGUGAC